GAUGAACGCUGGCUACAGGCUUAACACAUGCAAGUCGAGGGGAAACGACGGGGAAGCUUGCUUCCCCGGGCGUCGACCGGCGCACGGGUGAGUAACGCGUAUCCAACCUGCCUCUGACUGAGGGAUAACCCGUCGAAAGUCGGCCUAAUACCUCAUGGUAUCGUCUGCGGGCAUCCAACGACGAUUAAAGAUUUCAUCGGUCAGGGAAGGGGAUGCGUCUGAUUAGCUUGUUGGCGGGGUAACGGCCCACCAAGGCUACGAUCAGUAGGGGUUCUGAGAGGAAGGUCCCCCACAUUGGAACUGAGACACGGUCCAAACUCCUACGGGAGGCAGCAGUGAGGAAUAUUGGUCAAUGGGCGAGAGCCUGACCCAGCCAAGUAGCGUGCAGGAAGACGGCCCUAUGGGUUGUAAACUGCUUUUAUGCGGGGAUAAAGUGAGGGACGUGUCCCUCAUUGCAGGUACCGCAUGAAUAAGGACCGGCUAAUUCCGUG
rnacentral:rRNA from 1 species